rnacentral:rRNA from 1 species
AUGCCUGUAUCAGUGUCCGUACAUCAAACUUGGCUCCCUUCCUUCCGUGUAGUCGGUGGAUGGGGAUGCACAGACGUGAAGUGUCUUGCGACUGGGCUUCGGCUCGGCUGCGAGUCCUUUUAAAUGUACAGAACUGUACUUCUCUUUGCUCGAAAAGCG